UUACUGAAAAAUCAGGAAUACAACUCGAAUAGGGGCAUUAUGGUCAAUUGACACCCUGAGAUGCCUUUUGACCUAAAUGACCACUAAAAAUAAGUGACAUUAAAGUUGAAAAACUUCAUGAAAAAUGAAAUUGUAAAUGAAAUAUAUAAAUAAGGAAAAUUAGGGGGUAAGAAUUGGAAUAAUUGAAAGUUGAAUUAAACUAAUGUUAUUUCUACAUUAGUGGACCACUAAGCACUUUGUAAAUCAAUUAAAAAUCUGUCAUCUUCCACUAACUUCUGCAAAGCCAUCUUCUUCCUCAAACUCUC
rnacentral:misc_RNA from 1 species